CAUUAAAUCAGUUAUCGUUUAUUUGAUAGUACCUUACUACUUGGAUAACCGUGGUAAUUCUAGAGCUAAUACAUGCUGAAAACCCCAACUUCGGGAGGGGUGUAUUUAUUAGAUAAAAAACCAACGCCCUUCGGGGCUUCUUGGUGAUUCAUGAUAACUUAACGGAUCGCAUGGCCUUGCGCCGGCGACGGUUCAUUCAAAUUUCUGCCCUAUCAACUUUCGAUGGUAAGGUAUUGGCUUACCAUGGUUUCAACGGGUAACGGGGAAUUAGGGUUCGAUUCCGGAGAGGGAGCCUGAGAAACGGCUGCCACAUCCAAGGAAGGCAGCAGGCGCGCAAAUUACCCAAUCCCAAUACGGGGAGGUAGUGACAAUAAAUACUGAUACAGGGCUCUUUUGGGUCUUGUAAUUGGAAUGAGUACAAUUUAAACCUCUUAACGAGGAACAAUUGGAGGGCAAGUCUGGUGCCAGCAGCCGCGGUAAUUCCAGCUCCAAUAGCGUAUAUUAAAGUUGUUGCAGUUAAAAAGCUCGUAGUUGAACCUUGGGUCUGGCUGGCAGGUCCGCCUCACCGCGUGUACUUGUCCGGCCGGGCCUUCCUUCUGGAGAACCUCAUGCCCUUCACUGGGCGUGUUGGGGACCAGGACUUUUACUUUGAAAAAAUUAGAGUGUUCAAAGCAGGCCUUUGCUCGAAUACGUUAGCAUGGAAUAAUAAAAUAGGACGUGCGGUCCUAUUUUGUUGGUUUCUAGGACCGCCGUAAUGAUUAAUAGGGACAGUCGGGGGCAUCAGUAUUCAAUUGUCAGAGGUGAAAUUCUUGGAUUUAUUGAAGACUAACUACUGCGAAAGCAUUUGCCAAGGAUGUUUUCAUUAAUCAGUGAACGAAAGUUAGGGGAUCGAAGACGAUCAGAUACCGUCGUAGUCUUAACCGUAAACUAUGCCGACUAGGGAUCGGGCGAUGUUCUUUUUCUGACUCGCUCGGCACCUUACGAGAAAUCAAAG
rnacentral:rRNA from 1 species